rnacentral:tRNA from 1 species
UGGGGCGUGGCCAAGUUGGUAAGGCGCCUGACUCUGGAUCAGGAGAUCGUGGGUUCGAAUCCUACCGCCCCAGCCA